rnacentral:rRNA from 1 species
UACGUAGGCAGCAAGCGUUGUUCGGAGUUACUGGGCGUAAAGGGUGUGUAGGCGGUUCUUUAAGUUUGGUGUGAAAUCUCCCGGCUCAACCGGGAGGGUGCGCCGAAUACUGAGGGACUCGAGUGCGGGAGAGGAAAGUGGAAUUCCUGGUGUAGCGGUGAAAUGCGUAGAGAUCCGGAGGAACACCGAAGGCGAAGGCAGUGUCCUGGCGAGUGACUGACGCUGAGGUGCGAAAGCCAGGGGAGCAAACGGG